UGCUUGACACACACAUAUCUCGGUAGCUAUACGUCAAUCGAUAGCCAACAGGGUAUCGAUCCCCAAAAAUGCCGAACGCUCACGAUGUGCUCUUCAGAACGCUCGCGGAUCCGACUCGGCGGGCUCUCUUCGAGCGACUGUGCCGCGAAGGAGAGAAGACGGUCGGGGUGCUGACGGCUCGGGCCGGGGUCUCGCAACCCGUCGUCUCAAAGCAUCUUGGGAUCCUGAAGCAGGCCGGGUUGGUGCGGGACCGGCGCGAAGGUCGCCAGACGCACUAUAGCGCGCAGCUCGGCGCCUUGGUCCCGCUGAUCGACUGGACAAGCCAGAUGG
rnacentral:misc_RNA from 1 species